CAACAGGUCUGUGAUGCCCUUAGAUGUUCUGGGCCGCACGCGCGCUACACUGAAGGGAUCAGAAUGUUUUCCCUCUCCGAGAGGAGCGGGUAACCUUUAGAACCCCCUUCGUGGUAGGGAUCGGGGCUUGCAAUUAUUCCCCGUGAACCAGGAAUUCCCAGUAAGCGUCAGUCAUAAGCUGGCGUUGAUUACGUCCCUGCCCUUUGUACACACCGCCCGUCGCUACUACCGAUUGAA
rnacentral:rRNA from 1 species